UUAAAAAAGUUUGACCGUUUAUUUUUAGACUAAUUUUUUAAUGUAUUGUGCUUGAAGAACGUUGUUUAUUACAUAUUAAAUUAAAAUAUUUAUUUUCAGACGAAAAAUUAAACCUGUAAACAAUUUCUCUCUAUAUUUACUUGUUCAAGUGCCAGUGAAACGAACGAUAGAAAAAAAGAAGCAUUCAAACUGUUCGCAAAGUUUUUGGUUUGGAUACAAAAAACCAAGUAAAAAUGAUACUGGAAAGAAGUGGUAACCAGCUAGAAGUCGUAACCUGCUCGUAUAAAACGAAUUCUCAUUGUGAAAUUGUUAAUUUUAUUCAACAACGCCAAGAAACAGAGCUUGCUCAAGAAAGAGAAAGAUGAAAAAAUAUUCUGUUGAAAAAUACUAUUGUUUUAUUUAUAAAUUAUUCUCCUAUAUUUAAACAUAUAAAAGAUG